CAGUAGCCACGGUAACACGAAGGGGGCUAGCGUUGUUCGGAAUUACUGGGCGUAAAGCGCACGUAGGCGGAUAUUUAAGUCAGGGGUGAAAUCCCGCAGCUCAACUGCGGAACUGCCUUUGAUACUGGGUAUCUUGAGUAUGGAAGAGGUUAGUGGAAUUGCGAGUGUAGAGGUGAAAUUCGUAGAUAUUCGCAGGAACACCAGUGGCGAAGGCGGCUAACUGGUCCAUAACUGACGCUGAGGUGCGAAAGCGUGGGGAGCAAACAGGAUUAGAUACCCCAGUAGUCCCUGUCUCUUAUAC
rnacentral:rRNA from 1 species